CAUACUAAAAGGGAUCAACCAGCAACGACAGAUGAAAAGAAAAGGACGACCAAAAGACAACCUUUUACAAACAAACGAUAUAAGACACUACACCUAGAAUGUUGGGAGAGGUGAGAUGCGAGCGAGGGAAUCACAAACAAGGUAGAAAUAACAAACAAGCUACAAUCAAAUCAAUCAGCACAAUAAACCAAGCUACGAAA